UACGUAGGGUGCGAGCGUUGUCCGGAAUUAUUGGGCGUAAAGGGCUCGUAGGCGGUCUGUCGCGUCGGGAGUGAAAACUCAGGGCUUAACCCUGAGCCUGCUUCCGAUACGGGCAGACUAGAGGUAUGCAGGGGAGACUGGAAUUCCUGGUGUAGCGGUGAAAUGCGCAGAUAUCAGGAGGAACACCGGUGGCGAAGGCGGGUCUCUGGGCAACAACUGACGCUGAGGAGCGAAAGCGUGGGGAGCGAACAGG
rnacentral:rRNA from 1 species